rnacentral:rRNA from 1 species
AUGGCGGAGGCCGCAAUCACGGCGGUGCUUUCCAAGCUCGCGGAGCUCGCGAUCAGCGAAGCCCAGUCGUUGCGUCAGGUCCGCACAGAAAUCAUACUGCUGCGCGACCGGCUGGAGUGGCUGCGGGCCGUUGUCCGUGAGGCCGACCAGCAACGCCGGGCCGGCACUGGCGGACUGACCCUCCUGUGGGUGAGCCAGACGCGCGAAGUUGCCUUCCACGCGGAGGAUGCGAUCGACGACUUCUUCCACGAGGAGGAUGAGGUGCGUCCUGUGGUUCCCUGCUAG